rnacentral:other from 3 species
AAGAUUCUGUGGUGUACGCGUUGUCUAAACGCAGGUUUGCCUUACAGUCUUUUAAUUUUGGGACUAGUACAUUCGUAACCGGACAACAUGCCUUUUCACUUGGUAGUUGGAAAGUUAACAGUCGUGUCCCACCUGUCUUAAACACAGGUCAACACUGAAUGACAAUUAACGGCACUAACGGAGUUUUC